rnacentral:rRNA from 1 species
AUUGAACGCUGGCGGCAUGCCUUACACAUGCAAGUCGAACGGCAGCACGGGUGCUUGCACCUGGUGGCGAGUGGCGAACGGGUGAGUAAUACAUCGGAACGUACCUUAUCGUGGGGGAUAACGCAGCGAAAGCUGUGCUAAUACCGCAUACGCCCUGAGGGGGAAAGCGGGGGAUAGCAGGACCUCGCGCGAUUCGAGCGGCCGAUGCCUGAUUAGCUUGUUGGUGGGGUAAAAGCCCACCAAGGCGACGAUCAGUAGCUGGUCUGAGAGGACGAUCAGCCACACUGGGACUGAGACACGGCCCAGACUCCUACGGGAGGCAGCAGUGGGGAAUUUUGGACAAUGGGGGCAACCCUGAUCCAGCAAUGCCGCGUGAGUGAAGAAGGCCUUCGGGUUGUGAAGCUCUUUUGUCAGGGAAGAAACACCGGCUCUAACACAGUCCGGGAAUGACGGUACCUGAAGAAUAAGCACCGGCUAACUACGUGCCAGCCGCCGCAGUAA